AUUCUGCCUCGGAGGUUCUCCA
rnacentral:misc_RNA from 1 species